UACGAGGGGGGCAAGCGUUAUUCAAAAUGACUGGGCGUAAAGAGCACGUAGGCUGCUUAAAAAAAAUUGGUUCUUUCAAAAGCCCAUGGCUUAACUGUGGUAAAAGGAUAUUUUUUUAAGCUAGAGUAAGUGAGAGGAAAGUGGAAUUCCUGGAGGAGAGGUAAAAUUUGUAGAUUUCAGGAGGAACAUCGAAAGCGAAGGCAACUUUCUGGCACUUUACUGACGCUGAGGUGCGAAAGCGUGGGGAGCGAAGGGG
rnacentral:rRNA from 1 species